GGUUGAUCCUGCCAGUAUUAUAUGCUGAUGUUAAAGAUUAAGCCAUGCAUGUGUAAGUUUAAAGUCCAAGUAGGAUGAAACUGCGGACGGCUCAUUAUAACAGUAAUAGUUUCUUUGGUUAGUAAAUAAAAGGAUAACUUUGUGAAUGAUAAAGCUAAUACUUGAGACGAUCCGGGUUGUAGUAAUACAAUUCGGCCAAACCUCGCAAGAGGUGAGAUAAUGAUACUCUUUAUGAAUAGGGGUACCACGACAAUUGUAGAACACACAGUGUUUAACAAGUAACCAAUGAGAA
rnacentral:rRNA from 1 species